rnacentral:rRNA from 1 species
UAAUACGUAGGGUGCGAGCGUUGUCCGGAAUUAUUGGGCGUAAAGAGCUCGUAGGCGGUUUGUUGCGUCGACUGUGAAAACCUGGGGCUUAACUCUGGGCUUGCAGUCGAUACGGGCAGACUUGAGUUCGGUAGGGGAGACUGGAAUUCCUGGUGUAGCGGUGAAAUGCGCAGAUAUCAGGAGGAACAC